AUGGGACCCGGGGGGGAUUCGGGGGUUUUGGGGAUUUUGGGGGGUCCCCGAGCCGCCCCCGUGACCCCUCCCGGGUCGGUCCCGCAGGGCGAAGGCGCUGGCGCUGACCGGGAACCGCGGGGUGGAACCGGCCAUGGACUGGCUGGUGGCUCACGAGGACGACCCCGACUCGGACUCGGACCCCGAGACCCCCCCGGAUCUGGGGGCGCUGCUGGGGGGGCCCCGGGCGCCCGCGGGGGAGCAGGACGAGACCCAGAAGUGAAUUUGGGGAGGAAAAAAUUUGGGGUUUUGGGGAGAAAUUUGGGGUUCAAUUGGGGAUUUAGGGGUUCAGAGGGUAAAUUUGGGACUUUAGGGGGAUUUGGGGGUUUAAAGGGAAGAUUUUGGGGUUUAGGGGAGAAUUUUGGGGGUAAUUUGGUGGUUUGGGGAGGAAAUUUGGGGUUGAAGUGGGAUAUUUGGGGUUUUGGGGGGGGGAAUUUGGAGGUCUGGGGGGAAUUUGUGGGUUUGGGCAGGAUUUGGGGGUCCCAAGAGAGAUUUAUGGGUUCAAAUGGGGAAUUUGGGGGGGGAUAUUAAGGGCAGAAUUUUGGGGAUUAAAAAGGGAAAAUUCUGGGGUUUCAAAGAGGCUCAGGGGAAAAAUUUUGGGGGGUUUCAGGGGAGAUUAGGGGUUUCAGGGGGAUUUAGGGGCUCAGGGGGAUUUGGGGUUCAGAGUUUUGGGGUUCAGGAUGAUUUUGGGGUCCCAGGGCGCUGUUGGAGGCCGGGCAGGAGCGCGAGCAGAGGGAGCUCAGUGACCCCGGGAUUUGAGGCUCAGAUUUUGGGGCUCAGGGUGAUUUCGGGGCUCAGGGUGAUUUUGGGGCUCAGAUUUUGGGGCUCGGGGUGAUUUCGGGGUUCAGGGUGAUUUUGGGGCUCGGGGUGAUUUCGGGGCUCAGGGUGAUUUUGGGGCUCAGAUUUUGGGGGCUCGGGGUGAUUUCAGGGGGCCGCGGGUGAUUUU
rnacentral:lncRNA from 14 species